rnacentral:rRNA from 1 species
AACGCGAAGAACCUUACCUGCCCAUGACAUGCUAGGAUCUUUCCAGGAGUGGAUUGCUGCCUUUUGGAACCGAGAGACAGGUGCUGCAUGGGUGUCGUCAGCUCGUGUCGUGAGAUUUUGGGUUAAGUCCCGUAACGAGCGCAACCCUUGUCCUUACGUUGCCAGCGGGUAAUGCCCGGGAACUCUAAGGAGAUUGCCGGUGAAAAACCGGAGGAAGGUGGGGAUGACCUGAAGUCGUUAUGGCCCUUAUGGGCAGGGCUACACACGUACUGCAAUGGCCGGUACGAAGGGUUGCCAACCCGUGAGGGGGAGCUAAUCCCAAAAAACCGGUCGUAGUCCGGAUCGCAGUCUGAAACUCGACUUUGUGAAAACGUUGGAAUCGCUAGUAAUCGCGAAUCAGCACGUCGCGGCGAAUACGUUCCCGGGCCUUGUACACACCG